CAGUCGCCGCGGUAAUACGGAGGAUCCAAGCGUUAUCCGGAAUUAUUGGGUUUAAAGGGUGCGUAGGCGGCAUGCUAAGUCAGGGGUGAAAGACGGUGGCUCAACCAUCGCAGUGCCUUUGAUACUGGUGUGCUUGAAUAUGGAUGAGGUAGGCGGAAUGUGGCAAGUAGCGGUGAAAUGCAUAGAUAUGCCACAGAACACCGAUUGCGAAGGCAGCUUACCAAGGCAAAAUUGACGCUGAGGCACGAAAGCGUGGGGAUCGAACAGGAUUAGAUACCCCCGUAGUCCCUGUCUCUUAUAA
rnacentral:rRNA from 1 species